rnacentral:rRNA from 1 species
UACGAAGGGGGCUAGCGUUGUUCGGAGUUACUGGGCGUAAAGGGCGCGUAGGCGGCGCAUCAAGUCAGGCGUGAAAGCCCUGGGCUCAACCCGGGAAUUGCGCUUGAGACUGGUGUGCUCGAGUACGGGAGAGGAUAGUGGAAUUCCCAGUGUAGAGGUGAAAUUCGUAGAUAUUGGGAAGAACACCAGUGGCGAAGGCGGCUCACUGGCCCGGUACUGACGCUGAGGUGCGAAAGCGUGGGGAUCAAACAGG